UUUAAUAUAUGUAUCCAGUCAUCAUCACCAGCCAUGGUUGACUCUCUUCUAACCGGAGACCUUUACACUGUCUGCUAUUUUGGUUUGUAUGGCACUUUUGCGAAGAGUUUCAUCGUUUUUUCAUUU